UACGUAGGGUGCAAGCGUUGUCCGGAAUUAUUGGGCGUAAAGAGCUCGUAGGCGGUUUGUCGCGUCUGCUGUGAAAACUCGGGGCUUAACCCCGGGCCUGCAGUGGGUACGGGCAGACUAGAGUGCGGUAGGGGAGACUGGAAUUCCUGGUGUAGCGGUGAAAUGCGCAGAUAUCAGGAGGAACACCAGUGGCGAAGGCGAGUCCCCGGACAACUCCUGACACUGAGGCACGAAAGCUAGGGGAGCAAACAGG
rnacentral:rRNA from 1 species